rnacentral:rRNA from 1 species
UACCAGCACCCCGAGUGGUCGGGACGUUUAUUGGGCCUAAAGCCUCCGUAGCCGGUUCUACAAGUCUUCCGUUAAAUCCACCUGCUCAACAGAUGGGCUGCGGAAGAUACUAUGGAGCUAGGAGGCGGGAGAGGCAAGCGGUACUCGAUGGGUAGGGGUAAAAUCCGUUGAUCCAUUGAAGACCACCAGUGGCGAAGGCGGCUUGCCAGAACGCGCUCGACGGUGAGGGAUGAAAGCUGGGGGAGCAAACCGG